AAUCAUGCACAUUUUUUCUUUAAAAAAAACAGUUUAAGGGUUAAGAUUGUGAAAGGAAAAUAUCUUGGGCCCCUUCAAGCUGGGAACUGCUCAGGGCAAAUCUGCCUCCAUUCUAUUCGAAGUCAUCCCUCUGCUCACAGAGAUAGAGGCACAGCCAUCUGUCUCUCACCUACCAGUGACCUGGAAGCCCCUGAGGGGAGGGAGAGGGGGCGGGGGGAGGGCUUGCUUUCAGUUUUCUCCACCUUUCUGGAGGAACUAACGUACUUCUUCCAUAUAUUGAUUGAUGUUUUGUGUCUCCCUAAAAUGUAUAAAACCAAACUGUGCCCUGACUACCUUGGGCAUAUGUCAUCAGGAUUCCUGAGGCUGUGUCAUGGGUGCACACCCUCAACCUUGGCAAAAUAAACUUUCUAAAUUAACUGAGACUUGUCUCAGAUUUUCUGGGUUCACAUUUUGGUAACCACAGGGGGAUUCUGAGUGGAGAUACCCCUGACCUUUGACAAAUAUCCUGUUGGUGCUUGGUACCAGCAUGAGCUAACUUUAUGGUUCAAACCAAUAGGACAAUUUGCCGUGCACCCCCUCCAGAGAAUCCCUGAGCUCCAAAAAUUUGGUUGAGAUCAAAAGUUUAUUUUGCUGUACAACUCCUCUUUUUGAGGGAGUUUUACUUGCUUCCAACAGGAAGGCAGGUUUUCUUGCUUCCAUGAUGAUGGAAGGCAGACAACUCCUUUAUGGAGUUUGAGCUUGCUUCCAACAGGGAAGAUGAGGUUUUUUUUUUCCUUCUUCUAGGAUGGUAGAGAGCGGUCUACAGCCUGAGACCCAUCACCAGCUAUUGCAACAGAGGCUACUCUUUGGUUUUCAAGAAAGAGUGUGGCUGCGCGUGGUGGCUCAUGCCUGUCAUCCCAACACUUUGGGACACCGAGGCGGGAGGAUCACGAGGUCAGGAGUUCAAGACCAGCAUGGACAACCUGGUGAAACCUCAUCUCUACUAAAAAUACAAAAAUUAGCUGGGCAUGGUGGUGCGUGCCUGUAAUCCCAGCUACUCAGGAGGCUGAGGCAGGAGAAUUGUUUGAACCGGGACCCAAGAGGUGAGGUUGCAGUGAACCAAGGUCAUGCCACAGCACUCCAGCCUGGGCUGCAGAGCAAGACUCCAUCACAAAAAAAAAAAAAGUGUAGUUUAAUUUUAUGUAUAAUUUGGCUCAAAGAAAAAUAAAAGCAUCUCCCUCUAGCACCACCAGAUUUUCUUCUCUCUGUACCUUAUGAUGCAAAUUUUGCUAUUUGAUUUUCACCUGAGUUGUUUCCUUUAAUGUGCAAAUUUAAGGCUAUUUAGCUGACAACUGCCUAGGAUUGUGAAAGAGGUUAUCAAGAAUCUGAAAGUCUAAGAUAGAAAAAAAAAAAAUAGGGUGGGCGUUUCUUUAUAAACCUAUAAAAUGUACUUCUAUGGUCAUGCCUAAUAUACAUUGACAUGUAUUUAUAUGUUCUGUACAAAAUGUUUCACUGCUAAAAAUAUAUAAAAGAGCUCUAAUUAAUUGGCUUAAAGAAAAUAAAAGCACUUAAAUCAGCUACUAAAAAAGAAACGACUAGUCAAAUGCUUUUUCAAGUUUAUGUAACUUAAGUAAAAUCUUUAAUAAAUAAGCUAGCUUUAAAAUUAUUGGUAAAGUAAUAUUAAAAGUGUCUUAAGGAAUAACCAACAUAUAUUUGUGUUGCAUUUAUUAAUCAAGUAAAUUUUAUACUCAUCUCUGUCAAAUAUAUUUGUGUCAAAAUUUGGCAUAGGAGACACAAAACUAUAAACCCAGCCCAAAUCAGAAUGAUCUUUGUGUAAUUUUUAAUAAAUUAGACAUUUAUAUGGGUUUAAUGAAAAUAGCUGCAUCUUGAAUUUAGUAAGAUUACCUUAACUUCUAAUCCUGUGGUUUUAGGCAGUUUGGUUCACAGCCAAUAAAGAGGUUUAUUUUGGGAAAGGACUCUUAUUGUCUUUGUUUCAAAGCUAAACUUUAAGUUCCUCUCAAAGUUACUUUGGCCUAUGCCCAGGAAUGAACAAGGACAGUUUGGAUGUUAAGAGCAAGACGGAGUCAGUUAGGUCCAAUCUUUUUUCACCGCCUCAAUUAUAAUUUUCCAAUGGUAGUUUCAUAACUUUAAAUCAUGACUAUCACAGUUUUCAUAAAUAAUCUAGAUAAACAAUUACAAUAAAAUAAGUAAAUGUAAUGGAAUAAAUACUUGUAGUCAAACUGGUCUUAAUUUAGAAUAUAUGGUUAUAUUAAAUUAAAUGAUAGAUAUUUCAUUAUUUGAGUAUUUUCCAAUAAAUAUAUACUGUAGGAAAACAUUCUUGCUAAAAGAAAGUGUCCUUUUUUAAAAAAAGGUGAACAAGUUUUGAUUAAUUCAAAGUUUAUUUAAAGAUUAUGUAUAAAACAAGGUAAAAGGAACCAGGAGUAAAAAAAAUAUGUAAAGAAAGUUGUAAAAAUUAAGAGGUUUUUGUUUUUUGAGGUAAAAAAGCUUAAAGAUAAAUAAUUUUAUUUAAGAAAUAAUCUUCUGUGGUAAAUUUAGUCCUAAAAUAAAAUAACUGGUUGUUUAAAAAGGAGGGAUGUUCAGGAAAACCAAAAAGUCUGAACAUGUGAUGAACAGUAAGUGUAAGUCACAAUAAGAAGAUUUAUAUAUAUUUUUUAAAUUAUGUAAUUAAAUUGUCAUAUUAUUAUUAAGUUUUGGUUUGCUUAACAAAAGUGAGAUACAAUGUUUUUUUUAAUUAAGGCUAUUACAUCCAUGUAUCUUCCUGUAUGUGCUUUUAAAGUCCUUAUAAUACUGAGUUACGGGCUUUAACUCCUAAGUCUAAAAAGGACACCAAGUCCUGCUAAAUCUUAAACACUGACAGCAAUUAAAGCCUCAUCUUCAGGCCCUGUAGAAGAUGCCAAUCAAAAUAAACUGCAUUCCUGAGACAUAGGGCAAAAGAAUUAAAGCUAUUAAGUUCCUCAAGGCCCAGUGACUAUCAUGGAAGUGGUGGACAUGUAAGAUUACAAGGGCCGAUUUUGAAAAAUAAAAUAUAUUCAGUUUCUCUAUAAAUUAAUCAUUAGUGUCAAAGGCACACUGAUGCAAAACCAGUAUAUGGCCCCCUGUGUCAGAUUAACAAGAUUUUCUUGAAGCAUUAACCAACUCCUUAAUAAAGGUUAUAAAAGGCCUAUGGAAGCUAUAUUUUAUAAUCAAGAUUAAAUUUUAUAGAUUGUUUACAAAAUUUUGGAAAAGAAAAGUAAUUGGCUUCUUGCUAUUUUUAUUAGGGCUUGUUUAGAAAAGUAAGUCUCCUAUCUCAAAGAAUGAAGGUCUUCAUCUUUUUUUUUUUUUUUUUUUAAUCCUCGAGUUAUCACUUUGGUUAAAUAAAUGACUUUACAAUGACCUGUAAUCCUCUUUUGUAAUACCAAGUGUUUUAAACCUUUUAUAUUUGAUGAACUUCCCAAAACUAAAUUAUAAAUUAUGUCUUUUUCUAAUCUAAUUAAACCUUUAAGACAUUAGAUUUCCUAAAGUCCAAAAAUCACAUAUGUUGGCUUAUUUGGUAUAAAAAUUUUACAGAAAGCAUUUGUCAAACAUGAAAUGUUGUUUGGUUUUCUUUGGGUUGUAUUUGUAGGAAUAUGUUAUUGGUAUGUGUUCCAAAAUUAUGAGAAACUCCUAUAAUUCUGAUAUAACAGUGUACAUUAUCAGUAAUCAUAAUUGUUAUGUUAAAAUUAUUGUGUGCCACAGAGUUAACAAAUUUCCUUGUCAAUUGUGUCUUUGAACUAUGGCUGCCUUAAAACUUUUUUUUCAUUCAUGGACAAUUGUUGUCUUAUUUGGGCCUCUUUAGAAGGUGGUUUUAUAAUCAGCUAUAAAACUCCAACAGGUGCUCUGAAAUGCAGGUUUCUGAUAACUUUGGGGAUAGUGACAUCAGAAUAGAGGAAAAGCUUUCAGGACUCAUGAAGAGCUAAAAUGUUCAUGAGUCUCAAGCAGAACAGGAAUUAACUUCAUGGAUGGAACCAAUCUUUUUGACUUUUGCUUAAAAUGUUUGCUGAUCCUUUUUUUUAUUUUUCAGAACUUUUCUUUUGAGCUAUUGACAGCUUUUAACAAUUUAGUAUACUUCUUAUGAAUAAAAUUUGGAGCAUAUUUGUUUCUUUCUACCUUUGGAAUUUGGAAACUAUUUGUGACUAUUGUUAACUUAUGGCAAUACAGUUAUUUGCAUAAGUGUAAUUAGAAUAUAUUUUCAUUUGUAACAGGACACAAUUGGAGAAAUUAUUUUACCAAGGCUUUGACUGGAAUGAUGUACUUUCCUUUAAAGAAUAAACUUGACUUAUGGAGCCAAUAAAGCCCUUUUGAAAAACUGGCCUCAUGUUUUAUGUACACAGUCCAUGUGCAGGGGUUCUGACCUGUGGUAAGUGAAGAAUGUUACUUUCUGACAGGCACAGAAACCCCCAGGUUCAUCUUGGAACCUCAAGAGGAGAGGUAAUUCACCCAGUUCAUAGGUAUUUGAUGGCACAAAGUCAUGGCUGGGCUUGGCUUUAAAAAGUCUUGUCUGAGAUUCAUCCUAUGGAACAAAGUUCCAUCAAAGCCAAUUUAAAAGCCUAUGUAAAAAAUAAUUAUGCUUGCUGUGCUGUAUACAAAUAAUUAGGCCAAGUAUAGUAAGCAAACCAUUUCUACUAUGAUUUGUCUUUAGUAAAAUGAGAAACUUGAGAAAAAAAAAUUAUGUUUUAAAAUGAUUGUAUGCCUAUUGUUAGAUUCUAGUCUUGCCUAAUGUUUUAUUUUUCAGUGUUUAUUAUUUUCUACAGUUUGGACUGAAUUGUAAUUUUUCUAGGCUACAACUCUUCAAAAUAAUGUUUUUAAUUUUUUCUCCUUUUUUUCCAUUUUUCCUAAUUUGAAGUCACUGAAAACUAAGCUGUGCUUUCUUGAAACCCUGCAAACUGAAGCCAGACAACUUAAACUUAAAAGAAAAUAAAAGCAACCCAUUUACAUACAUAAACCACUUUCAUACCUGCCUACUAAUGUAUGGACUUCAGAGUAAUGUGGCCUAUAUCAAUUUUUCCAGGAUUGUUCGUUUGUUGUUGUUUUUUCUCCCUUUCUCCCCUCUAUUUUCUCUUCACAGGACAUGAGACUUCACAAUCUGCUAAAAAUGAGCUUUUGGGACCUACUCAUCUAGAAAUAAACCAUCCUAGCCAUGAGAGAUCAGAUGAAACCUGAAGCCAGAGAUUUAUUUUUUUGUAAAAUGCUUUCUACAAAAGAUUUGAAAAAAGAAAAGGGGGGAAAUGUGAAAAGAAAAUAUCUUGGGCCCCUUCAAGCUGGAAACCACUCAGGGCAAAUCUCCCUUGCAUUCUAUUCAAUGUAAUCCCUCUGCUCACAGAGAUAGAUGCAUAUUCUGAUUGGGCUUGCUUUAAGUUGUUUCUGUUUUUCUGGACAGAAAUAAUGGACUCCUUACAUAUAUUGAUUGAUAUUUCAUGUCUGCCUAAAAUAUACAAAACCAAACUGUGCCCCGACUACCUUGGGCACAUGUCAUCAGGAUUUCCUGAGGCUGUCAUGGGUGUGUCCUCAACUUUGUCAAAAUAAACUUUUAAAUUAACUGAGAU
rnacentral:lncRNA from 1 species